rnacentral:rRNA from 1 species
UACGUAGGCAGCAAGCGUUGUUCGGAGUUACUGGGCGUAAAGAGUGUGUAGGCGGUGCUCUAAGUUUGGUGUGAAAUCUCCCGGCUCAACUGGGAGGGUGCGCCGAAAACUGGAGUGCUCGAGUAUGGGAGAGGAAAGCGGAAUUCCUGGUGUAGCGGUGAAAUGCGUAGAUAUCAGGAGGAACACCUGCGGUGUAGACGGCUUUCUGGACCAUCACUGACGCUGAGACACGAAAGCGUGGGUAGCAAACAGG